AUCCAGCUGACGAGUCGAAAAUAGGACGAAACGUUCUGGAU
rfam:Schistosoma curassoni strain Dakar, Senegal genome assembly, scaffold: SCTD_scaffold0004439